UACGGAGGGUGCAAACGUUGCUCGGAAUCAUUGGGCGUAAAGCGCACGUAGGCGGCCUGUUAAGUCGGGUGUGAAAUCCCUGGGCUCAACCCAGGAAGUGCACUCGAAACUGGCAGGCUUGAGUACUGAAGAGGGUCGCGGAAUUCCCGGUGUAGAGGUGAAAUUCGUAGAUAUCGGGAGGAACACCAGUGGCGAAGGCGGCGACCUGGGCAGAUACUGACGCUGAGGUGCGAAAGCGUGGGGGAGCAAACAGG
rnacentral:rRNA from 1 species